rnacentral:lncRNA from 1 species
CUCACUGAACCAAACGGCACUCAACUUUUGCUACUUCAAUACCAAGGCAGCGCCUGUGCACCCUGGGCCGGAGGCAAUGGAAAAUUACAGGAACUGUGACUCCCACCAACGGCUGUAAUCCUCGGAAGUAUCCAGUGGGUGGAAGGAGGCAGCACUGCCUGCGCCUCUGCAUGACUUCAAACAAGCAGUUUUCCUUUCUUAGAACACCUGGGAUGAGGAGGCGGACAACUCUAAGGUGGGAAUAAAAGCUAUAUUUCUUCUUCUAUUCCAGACAUUUCCUUCUAGUGCUCCCUUUCAGUAUUCUGCCCUCAACAGAAGCCCAGGCAGCCUGGCAAAGUAACCGUCACGGCAAUGGCAGGGAGUGUCACCGCCACGCCACACCCUGUGCACCCGUGACUGCAGAGCUCCCUACAGGCUGUGCAGCAUCCCACCCUUCUCGCACCCUUUCCACAGGCCCUAUUCCUCCCUUUCUGUGGUAAGAGAAUUAAAGCCCCGAGCCAUUACAUGAUGUAGCCAAGGGCAUAUAACAUUUAAGUGGGUAGAGCUGGAUUCUUGCCCAGGACACUGCUUCUAGAGUGUAUACAAAUCAUUCCUAACACGUAUUAAGACGUAGAUUACUGGGGCUAGGAGGAUCACUCUACUGGUAUACUGUGUGCCAUGAAAGCAAGACAACCUACUUGCACGGAUCCUCAGCCAGGUAGGACAAAGUAUGCCCGGGGAGGCAGAGGCAAUGAAGAUCCCUCACUGGCUAGAUAAUCUGGCUCAGUGAGUUCCCUGUUCAUUGAGAGAUGGCCUCAAAAAAUAAGUUGGGGAACAACUGAGAACUGAGGCAGCCACUCAAUUGUCAACUUUUGGUUUACAGAUGUUUACUGUCCCCACACAGGUAAAUACACACACACCCCUCACAAUUUGGGGGUGGGAUCUGUGCCAUCUAAGCUUAGAGCAGGUCUUAGAUGGGGCCCAAAUCUGUCCUUUAAACAAGCUCUCAGGUAAUUCUGAUACAAACCAGCCACUAAAAAUAUGUACUAUGGGAAUGCUUUCCCAACCUGAGCUCCCGUGGAACACCAGCUUGUCACAAAACAAUGAGCAGACGUAAUUCAAAACAGAUGGGGUAGGGUGGUCCCUGGUUAAGAAAGUUUUUAGGACUAUGACGCAUUCUAUGACUUUCUGGGAGAUUUGCAGUGAGCAUUACCACGCUGUAUUAACAGAGCAGUUCCCAAGCUUGCUUAACCACAGGAUCCUCUAUCAAGAGCACCCAUUAACAUCUCACAAAACCCAGCAAGUGGGGCGGAGUCUGGGAAGCCAGGCUGUGGUAGUUCUUCCUACUUGGAGCCCACACUGGCCUCUACUCACUUCUGCCAAGUAUGCAAUAAGUGGAAUUCAAAGCUCUAACCCUGGCCUCACCCUCACCAGCUAUGUGAGACCUCUAAGCCUCUCUGGGUUUGCUCCUCAGCUAUAAGUCAAAAUAAUAAGCCCUGCAUGCUUACAGGGUCUUCAUAUGGGCACAAUGGGGGCCCAACUGCUGUGUGGGAGCCAGCAAGAUGACUCAGUGGGUAAAGGGGCUUGCUGAAAGGCCCAAGAAGGUUGAUCCCCAAGACCCACAUGAUAGAGAAAAAAAUAAUUCCUGUGCAUGUGCACAUGUGUAGCCGCCCUCUCCCCACCCCCAACACACACACAAAGUAAAUGUAAGAAAUGCUAUAUAAACCACAUAGGCCUUUAAAUAUCUUUUAGUCUGUGACUAUGGCCAAUCAAAGCUUGGUAAUAACCCAUUUGACUUUGCAUUCCACUUUCCAUACAUGAGACUAAUCUCUUAAACUACUCUGUGAUCAGGACGAUUAUUUUGUCCAAAUUAUUUCGAAGUGAGGGGCCUGCUUUGAAAACUCCUACAAAGUGAUGUUACACUUUACCGUAUAGCAUAGCAUAUGCCUACAGGAAUCACAUCGUUCUUCCUAAUAACUCUGUGAGGGGUGGACUCUUACUACUUGGUCCAUUUUAUGAGAGGAAACUGGAUCAGG